UUUGUAUAAUGGGUCAGCGACUUAUAUUCAGUGGCAAGGUUAACCAUCUAGGGGAGCCGUAGGGAAACCGAGUCUUAACUGGGCGUUCAGUCUCUGGAUAUAGACCCGAAACCAGGUGAUCUAGCCAUGGGCAGGUUGAAGGUUGAGUAACAUCAACUGGAGGACCGAACCGACUAAUGUUGAAAAAUUAGCGGAUGACUUGUGGCUAGGGGUGAAAGGCCAAUCAAACCUGGAGAUAGCUGGUUCUCCCCGAAAGCUAUUUAGGUAGCGCCUCGGACGAAUACUACUGGGGGUAGAGCACUGUUAAGGCUAGGGGGUCAUCCCGACUUACCAACCCUUUGCAAACUCCGAAUACCAGUAAGUACUAUCCGGGAGACACACGGCGGGUGCUAACGUCCGUCGUGGAGAGGGAAACAACCCAGACCGCCAGCUAAGGUCCCAAAUUACUACUAAGUGGGAAACGAUGUGGGAAGGCUCAGACAGCCAGGAUGUUGGCUUAGAAGCAGCCAUCAUUUAAAGAAAGCGUAAUAGCUCACUGGUCGAGUCGGCCUGCGCGGAAGAUGUAACGGGGCUAAGUAGUAAACCGAAGCUGCGGCAAUGUGCUUUUGCACAUUGGGUAGGGGAGCGUUCUGUAAGCGGUUGAAGGUGUGUGGUAACGCAUGCUGGACGUAUCAGAAGUGCGAAUGCUGACAUGAGUAACGAUAAAGGGGGUGAAAAACCUCCUCGCCGGAAGACCAAGGGUUCCUGUCCAACGUUAAUCGGGGCAGGGUAAGUCGACCCCUAAGGCGAGGCCGAAAGGCGUAGUCGAUGGGAAACGGGUUAAUAUUCCCGUACUUCUUACAAUUGCGAUGGGGGGACGGAGAAGGCUAGGUGGGCCUGGCGACGGUUGUCCAGGUUCAAGUGCGUAGGCUUAAGAGUUAGGUAAAUCCGGCUCUUUCUAAGGCUGAGACACGACGUCGAGCACCUACGGGUGUGAAGUCAUUGAUGCCAUGCUUCCAGGAAAAGCCUCUAAGCUUCAGAUUGUAAGGAAUCGUACCCCAAACCGACACAGGUGGUCGGGUAGAGAAUACCAAGGCGCUUGAGAGAACUCGGGUGAAGGAACUAGGCAAAAUGGUACCGUAACUUCGGGAGAAGGUACGCUCUUGAUGGUGAAGUCCCUUGCGGAUGGAGCUGACGAGAGUCGCAGAUACCAGGUGGCUGCAACUGUUUAUUAAAAACACAGCACUGUGCAAAAUCGUAAGAUGACGUAUACGGUGUGACGCCUGCCCGGUGCCGGAAGGUUAAUUGAUGGGGUUAGACUUCGGUCGAAGCUCUUGAUCGAAGCCCCGGUAAACGGCGGCCGUAACUAUAACGGUCCUAAGGUAGCGAAAUUCCUUGUCGGGUAAGUUCCGACCUGCACGAAUGGCGUAAUGAUGGCCACGCUGUCUCCACCCGAGACUCAGUGAAAUUGAAAUCGCUGUGAAGAUGCAGUGUACCCGCGGCUAGACGGAAAGACCCCGUGAACCUUUACUACAGCUUGGCACUGAACAUUGACCCUACAUGUGUAGGAUAGGUGGGAGGCUUUGAAGCACGUACGCCAGUAUGUGUGGAGCCGUCCUUGAAAUACCACCCUUGUAGUGUUGAUGUUCUAACGUCGACCCCUAAUCGGGGUUGCGGACAGUGCCUGGUGGGUAGUUUGACUGGGGCGGUCUCCUCCCAAAGAGUAACGGAGGAGCACGAAGGUGGGCUAAUCACGGUUGGACAUCGUGAGGUUAGUGCAAUGGCAUAAGCCCGCUUGACUGCGAGAAUGACAAUUCGAGCAGGUGCGAAAGCAGGUCAUAGUGAUCCGGUGGUUCUGAAUGGAAGGGCCAUCGCUCAACGGAUAAAAGGUACUCCGGGGAUAACAGGCUGAUACCGCCCAAGAGUUCAUAUCGACGGCGGUGUUUGGCACCUCGAUGUCGGCUCAUCACAUCCUGGGGCUGAAGUCGGUCCCAAGGGUAUGGCUGUUCGCCAUUUAAAGUGGUACGCGAGCUGGGUUUAGAACGUCGUGAGACAGUUCGGUCCCUAUCUGCCGUGGGCGUUGGAAGAUUGAAGGGGGCUGCUCCUAGUACGAGAGGACCGGAGUGGACGAACCUCUGGUGUUCGGGUUGUGUCGCCAGACGCAUUGCCCGGUAGCUAAGUUCGGAAUCGAUAACCGCUGAAAGCAUCUAAGCGGGAAGCGAGCCCUGAGAUGAGUCUUCCCUGAUACUUUAAGUAUCCUAAAGGGUUGUCGGAGACUACGACGUUGAUAGGUCAGGUGUGUAAGUGCUGUGAGGCAUUGAGCUAACUGAUACUAAUUGCCCGUGAGGCUUAACCAUACAACAC
rnacentral:rRNA from 1 species